CUGCGAGAUUAGCCAUGCACGUCUAGUAUAAGCCCUUGUUACAGGCGAGACUGCGAACGGCUCAUUAAAUCGGUUACGAAUCCCCUGGAGCCAGACAACCCAGGUGGAUAACGUGCGGUAACUCCGGCGCUAAUACAUGCAACGAAGCUCCGACUCGUUUACGAGGAAGAGCGCACUUACUAGACCCGAAGCCAUUGACGACCUCGGUCGCCUUGGUGGACGAAGCCCGAGUAAUUACCGCCGAUCGCAAGGCCAUCGUGCCGGCGACGCUUCUUCGAGUUUCUGAUCUAUCAUGCUGACGACGGUUCGUGCCAUGCGAACCGUGGCGUUGACGGAUAACAGAGAAUCUGGGUUCGAUUCUGGAGAGGCCGCCCGAGAAACGGCGACCACUUCUAAGGAAGGCAGCAGGCACGCAAAUUACCCACUUCUGACACAGAGAGGUAGUGACGAGAAAUAGUGAUACGGUACUCGCAAGAGUCAUCGUAAUUGCAAUGAGUUCAGCUUAAAUCCUUGUUCGAGGAUCCACUGGAGGGCAAGCCUGGUGCCAGCAGCCGCGGUAAUUCCAGCUCCAGCAGCGUAUAUUUAUGUUGCUGCGUUUAAAAAGCUCGUAGUUGAAGCGUCAGAUUGUGGGCGGCCGGUCGGCCGCAAGGUCGCACUGGUCGCCCCGUCCAGUCGCAAUCGGUGACGCGCGCGGCACUUCAUUGUGUCUGCGCGCGCGCUACUGCACGUUCACCUUGAGGAAAGUGAACCGCUCAAAGGAAGCUAGCGCCCGAACAAUACAGCAUGGUAUGAUGAAACAUGGGCUACGCUCUGUUUCGAUGGUUUCAGGAGCCGAGCCAAUGAUUAAUAGUGACUGCCGGGGGCAUUCGUACUCGGAAAGCUGAAACUUAAAGGAAUUGACGGAAGGGCACCACCAGGAGUGGAGCCUGCGGCUUAAUUUGACUCAACACGGGAAAACUCACCCGGCCCGGACACUGUUACGACAGACAGGUUGAGAGCUCUUUCUCGAUUCAGUGGUUGGUGGUGCAUGGCCGUUCUUAGUUCGUGGAGCGAUCUGUCUGGUUAAUUCCGAUAACGAACGAGACUCUCGCCUGCUAAAUAGACGACGUCGUGACUUCGGUUCGGCGGAGCUACGCUUCUUAGAGGGACAAGCGGCGCUUAGCCGCGCGAAGUUGAGAGCGAUAACAGGUCAGUGAUGCCCUUAGAUGUUCGGGGCCGCACGCGCGCUACACUGUUUGCAUCAGCGAGAAUACCGAGGUCGAAAGAUCUCGGCGACCCGUUGAACCGCAAACGUGCUAGGGAUCGGAGCUUGCAAUUAUUCUCCGUGAACGAGGAAUUCCUUGUACUCGCGAGUCAUCAGCCCGCGGGGAAUGCGUCCCUGCCCUUUGUACACACCGCCCGUCGCUACUACCGAUCGAAUGGCUUAGUGAGGCUCGCGGACUGGCGCGCGUCGACGGGGCGACCUGUCGAAGUGUCGCCGGGAAGCGAGACGAACUUGGGCAUUUAUAGGAAGUAAAAGUCGUAACAAGGUUUUCGUAGGUGAACCUGCGGAAGGAUCA
rnacentral:rRNA from 1 species